rnacentral:misc_RNA from 1 species
GAAAUGCGAUAAGUAAUAUGAAUUGCAGAAUUCAGUGAAUCAUCGAAUCUUUGAACGUACAUUGCGACCGCCAGUAUUCUGGCGGGCAUGCCUGUUCGAGCGUCACCUCAACCAUCAAGCCCCCGGGCUUGUGUUGGGGACCCUGCGGCUGCCCGCAGGCCCUGAAAUGCAGUGGCGGGCUCGCUGUCCACACCGAGCGUAGUAGCAUUACACCUCGCUCAGUGCGUGCAGCGUGCUCCAGCCGUUAAACGCGACCUUACAGCAUACCAAGGUUGACCUCGGGUCAGGUAGGAAGACCCGCUGAACUGAA